rnacentral:tRNA from 1 species
GACGGGUUGGGCGAGGCCGCCUCCGCCCGCUACCGCCGGGCGAAGAUCGGCAUGGUGUUCCAGUUCUUCAACCUGCUC